UACGUAGGGUCCGAGCGUUAUCCGGAAUUACUGGGCGUAAAGAGUUCGUAGGCGGAUUUUUAAGUCAGGUGUUAAAUAUGCAGGCUCAACUUGCAUGCUGCAUCUGAUACUGGGAGUCUUGAGAGUGGAAGAGGUAAGCGGAAUUUCCGGUGGAGCGGUAAAAUGCGUAGAUAUCGGAAAGAACACCAAUGGCGAAGGCAGCUUACUGGGCCAUUUCUGACGCUGAGGAACGAAAGCGUGGGGAGCGAUCGGG
rnacentral:rRNA from 1 species